rnacentral:rRNA from 1 species
UACGUAGGGUGCGAGCGUUGUCCGGAAUUAUUGGGCGUAAAGGGCUCGUAGGCGGUUUGUCGCGUCGGGAGUGAAAUCCACUGGCUUAACUGGUGGCUUGCUUUCGAUACGGGCAGACUGGAGGUAUGCAGGGGAGAACGGAAUUCCUGGUGUAGCGGUGAAAUGCGCAGAUAUCAGGAGGAAUACCGAUGGCGAAGGCAGGUCUCUGGGCUGAUACUGACGCUCAUGCACGAAAGCGUGGGGAGCAAACAGG